CCUGGUUGCUGGUUCUAUUAGUGAUAAAAUACAUAUUGUAACCCGUUUCUUUGCAGCAAGGGGCUUCUUCUAACCCAGCUGAUUUCCUCGGGUUCGCUCUCAGACUUGCCUUGCUGACUUGGACUUCUCACUUGAACUUUAAAAAUAUCCUCGUUCAAUAGUUUUUCUCUGUUCCCGAUAAUGCACGCUGUUGAGUUGUGUGAGUGGAGCAACUAUUAACAUGUUUUUCUGCUGUUGGGCAUGACGGGGCAGUCACAACCCGUCUUUGGCUGACGGAGGCCCUCAAAUCAUUGAUGUCAAUACCUGAGUUACAUCCCCCG
rnacentral:sRNA from 1 species